CAUAACCGCGGCACUGCCGAGUCAAGACUAGUAGCGAGCAGCAGACUACGCGGCGGCAAAACGCCGUGUACACGUUGCCGACAAAUAUUUUCUCGACCUGUACGAAUUCAAAACCGCUUCGACACUUUUUUCGAUAAUUUCUUCUUCAGAAGUACCUACAGAAUCAAACGUCGUGGUCAGUUUUCGUGUCAGGCAAAUAUGAUCUUUCUGACGUUUUUAGUUUUCCUACAAUACUUCGUUUUCGCUAUGAAUCGUUUUUCUUUUCAACUGGAAGUGACAGAGCAAUUCGGUCUUCGGAUUCGUGUUUUUUGGAAGUGACACUCUACGAGGACCAACCAGUGGUAAUUAGGAGGCAGAAUAAAACUUCGGAUUUGUUGAACAGUGUUAUCGAUCAGAGCUGUUAUUUUGACAAGAUUGGAUUUAUUAUUAUUAUUUCCUACGAUUUCUAUUAUAAUAUAUGUUUUUGAAUAAAU